rnacentral:rRNA from 1 species
AUACGUAGGGAGCGAGCGUUGUCCGGAUUUACUGGGUGUAAAGGGUGCGUAGGCGGCGCCGCAAGUCAGGUGUGAAAACUAUCGGCUUAACUGAUAGACUGCAUUUGAAACUGUGGUGCUUGAGUGGAGCAGAGGCAGGCGGAAUUCCCGGUGUAGCGGUGAAAUGCGUAGAGAUCGGGAGGAACACCAGUGGCGAAAGCGGCCUGCUGGGCUUUAACUGACGCUGAGGCACGAAAGCAUGGGUAGCAAACAGGAUUAGAUACCCUGGUAGUCCAUGCCGUAAACGAUGGAUACUAGGUGUAGGAGGGUUCAACCUUCUGUGCCGCCGCAAACGCAUUAAGUAUCCCGCCUGGGGAGUACGGUCGCAAGAUUAAA